AUCUGAAUGCCACCGAAAAUGUGA
rnacentral:siRNA from 1 species